UACGAAGGGGGCUAGCGUUGCUCGGAAUCACUGGGCGUAAAGCGCACGUAGGCGGGUCCUUAAGUCAGGGGUGAAAUCCUGGAGCUCAACUCCAGAACUGCCCUUGAUACUGAGGAUCUCGAGUUCGGGAGAGGUGAGUGGAACUGCGAGUGUAGAGGUGAAAUUCGUAGAUAUUCGCAAGAACACCAGUGGCGAAGGCGGCUCACUGGCCCGAUACUGACGCUGAGGUGCGAAAGCG
rnacentral:rRNA from 1 species